rnacentral:lncRNA from 1 species
AUUUGUUAUGGAAAAUAUAUUUGUUAAUUUCAUGUAAAAAUUAGUUUUUUCACUUAAAUUUGUAAACAAAUUCAAUAACAGGAGGUUAAAUGUAUUAGCAAUCUUGUGACAAUUUUACAUCAAACAUGACCUCUGUGACUUUGUUAUAAUAUUCUCUUAUUAAGAAUGGAUCUAAAAAUCUCCCUCUUAGAAAAAGCUUUUGUUUGUAAAAUAAAUGAUUGUCUAAUUUUAAAGUAAAACACAAUACCUCAUUCUUCCACACUCGUAAAAACUAGACACAAUAUAUAUGAUUAACGAUCUGUGGGAAUAAAAUUCUAUCUGUAAAUACAUGAAUGGGAAUCUUGAGAAUAGCUAUUAAUAUCAUGUAAGUGAAAGACUAACAAUAUGAGAGGCUCUCAAAUUAAAUUAGAGUAAAUAAAGCAGGAAUCAAGUGCUAUUUACAACAUGCGUAGACCCCUGUGUGGGAGGAGUGGGGUGUAGACCCUCACACAAAAAAGAGAAAGACAAUAAAUGGUAAUGAAAUUACAGAUGAUUUUACUAAACCCUUUAUAUAUUUUCAUUCUUUCUCAACUUGCUACAUUAUGACUUUCAAAUCAGAAUUUUAUAAUUUAAAUGAAUCUAAAAAUACCUUAAAUUGAGAGUUGAUAGGUAGUCAAAACUAAAAUGUUUAAUAAUUAAGCAGAAUCUAAUCAUUUAUAUCCUGUUAGAAUAAAGACAGUGUGAACAGAGGGUUUGAUUAGCUUAGAGGAGUAAGUCUCAUACUAUACAGACUAAACCAGGAGAGUCUGUUGAAAAUGUAGACUCAUUUCAUCAAUUCCAAUUCAACAGGUUUGGGUGAGACCAGAAAUCUGCAUUUUAUCAAGCUCCAUGGUGAUUCUAAUGCAGUUGGUUGGGGCCACACUUCGACAAAUACUGGCAAAAAGAGAAGUCCAAAACAUCGACAUUUCACCGAGACUCUCCAUAUACCAUCCAGGAACAAUGUUGCUCUGUCCCUAGGAAUCCCAGGCCUCUGCUUCCGGGGCAGAUCCUGUUGUGGACCACUAUAUAAUCUCUUCUUGUUCUGAUCAAUCCUUAUUUAGCAGAUUUCUUAUGACUGGCUUCCCUUGUGGUUUGCCUAGGGGGAGAAAACGGACUGUUCUGUCAACAAGGGCAUUUGAGGUUGUUUGAACAUCCUUCUCAUUGUGAGCUAAUAAAUUGGCACUCAGUUUAUACAUCAGUUUCUCUGGGCUCUUUUAAAGUUAGUCUGCCUCUGAAAGUUGGGUCCAUUUUCAGAUAACUGACCAAACUAGGCAUGUGAGUUCUCAAAGCUGAAGUCUCUUGGCCAGGAGGUAGCUAGCCCCUUCCCACAUUUGAGGAUAUUAGUUAUUUUUGCCAGCCUGGCAUCCUUUCCUAUUUUUCUGAUACAGCAUCUUGAAUUUCCCCUGGGGAAUCAGCCCUCUUCUACUCCCAGAUUCCUCCCAAAACUCAACAUGGCCUGUCCAUUUAAACUUAAUCCUAGAAUUUUAGUUAAAACAAAACUAAACUUUAGAGGUAAAGCUUAGAUCCAUUGGUACACAUCAUGGAGUCACAAGAGAAAAGCACGCUUGAGGACAACACCAUCACGGACAAAAGAAGAACCAAGAGUUAGACAUAAAAUGAGAGAGAGAGAAAGAAAAAAGGACAGUUGCUUAUCAUUUCAUUGCUUGAAUCUUGGAUACAGUUGGCCCUACCCAUGGCCUUUAUCUCACAUGAGCCAAUCAAUUCCCUUUUUUAUUUGAGCCAGUUUGAAUUGGAUUUAUUUCAUUUACUAAAGAAAGGGUCUUUAAUUAGGACAACACCUCUGUA